rnacentral:rRNA from 1 species
GACGUAGGGCGCGAGCGUUGUCCGGAUUUAUUGGGCGUAAAGAGCUCGUAGGCGGCUUGUCGCGUCGACUGUGAAAUCCCGCGGCUCAACUGCGGGUCUGCAGUCGAUACGGGCAGGCUAGAGUUCGGUAGGGGAGACUGGAAUUCCUGGUGUAGCGGUGAAAUGCGCAGAUAUCAGGAGGAACACCGGUGGCGAAGGCGGGUCUCUGGGCCGUAACUGACGCUGAGGAGCGAAAGCAUGGGUAGCAAACAGG